GGCCGCGGGAAUUCGAUUAGAGUUUGAUCAUGGCUCAGGAUGAACGCUGGCGGUAUGCCUAACACAUGCAAGUCGUACGAGAGUUUUUAACUCUAGUGGCGGACGGGUGAGUAACACGUGAGAAUUUGCCUUUAGGAGGGGGACAACAAUUGGAAACGAAUGCUAAUACCCCAUAUGCUUUCGAGUGAAAUGGAUUUUAUCCGCCUAGAGAGAAGCUCGCGGCUGAUUAGCUCGUUGGUAAGGUAAGAGCUUACCAAGGCGACGAUCAGUAUCUGGUUUGAGAGGACGAUCAGACACACUGGAACUGAGACACGGUCCAGACUCCUACGGGAGGCAGCAGUGGGGAAUUUUCCGCAAUGGGCGAAAGCCUGACGGAGCAAUACCGCGUGAGGGAAGAAUGCCUAUGGGUUGUAAACCUCUUUUUUCAGGGAGGAAUAAAAUGACGUGUACCUGAAGAAUAAGCAUCGGC
rnacentral:rRNA from 1 species